UGCCUCAUACUAUAGUCUGUCCCGGGUUUUCGCUUCCACGAUAUUUUGACAAUAUUAUCAGUGAAAAUAAGAUAAUAUUUCAUUAAAAUGUGGAUAUUUCUAAGGUUAUAAAAUUUCCAGACAAAAUUACCGUUACCGGACCGCUUAAAUAUUUUCUGCUGUUAUGUUAUGAGACGAUUUCUGAAGUCUACGGGAUUUUUCAAUGUUAAUUUCGGCCAUUGCAGUCAAGCGUACAAGGGAGUGGUUAUUAUUUUUUGUUGCACAUCGAAAUAAAGCGCAAAAAUAAAAUAAAAUAUUCAAUUUCAACUUUGCAUAUGUUAUUGAUAACUCAGCUGUUUGGUAAUGUUGUAAACUAUCAUAAGACAAUUUAAAGUCAGGAAAAUAUAAAAUUCAAGCCGAGUGUGACGCGGUACAACCAACGAUGCACAGGGCUUGCCUCGAACUGACGUGUCUAAAGUUUACAAGUAUACUCUCGUCGAAAUAUCAGCGCAUCUGGAAUAAAGAGAGAAAGAUGAUCACAGUAGAAAGAUUGAUACUAUAGAUGAAAAUCUGCUGACAAAGCCAUUCAUAACAUGCAGAAGAAGAAUAGUUCAAGUUUCACUUCUCAAAAGUCAGGGAGCAGUUCUCCAGACACCAUGGGAAGACUCAUGAAGGAGCUGGAUUCAGACCAUACAAAGUGUUCCAACAUUGGACACACUUACCUGACUUUAGAGAGGGCUUGGUACAUAUGCGGUGACUCCACCUCUUACACACUUCACACUCAACCCAUACAAUC